GAUGAACGCUGGCUGCGUGCCUAAUACAUGUAAGUCGAGCGAACGGACGAGAAGCUUGCUUCUCUGAUGUUAGCUGCGGACGGGUGAGUAACACUUGGAUAACUUCCCUAUACGACUUGCAUAACUUCGGCAAACCGGAGCUCAUACCGGAUGAUAUUUUUAUCCGCAUGUUUCAUCAGUUACAGACGGUCUUUCUGUCACUUAUAGAUGGAUCCGCGCUGCAUUAGCUAGUUGGUAAGGUAACGGCUUACCAAGGCAACGAUGCAUAGCCGACCUGAGAGGGGGAGAAGCCACACUGGAACUGAGGCACGGUCCAGACUAAAACGGGAGGGAGCGGUAGGGAAUGGACCGCAAGGGGAGGAAGGCUGGCGGAGAAAAGCCGAGUGAGGGAUGAAGGUCUUCGGAUAGUAAAACUAUGUUAUUAGGGAAGAACAUAUGUGUAAGGAACUGUGCACAUCUUGAAGGUACCGAAUCAGAAAGCAACGGCUAACUACGUG
rnacentral:rRNA from 1 species